GAAUAGUCAAUUCAUAGAAGAUUUAAUUUGAACAUUAGUUUGUAUUAUUUCCUUUUCAUCAUUUUUAAUAUUGAGAUGGUUGUAGAUAACUUGAAGAGAAUGAUAGAUUUGUCGAUGAUUAACUGUGUUAUUGCCCUCAAAAGGGCUUAUUUAACUAAUGUCUCGCUGUUGGAAUGGUGUUUUUAAGGAAUAAUAGAUUUCAGGGGCGGGGCUAUAAAGUGUUUGAGAUCUAAGCAUCACCAUGACAAGUGGUUGAAAGCUACUGGAAAGUAUGAGCUCAAGGUUCUCAAUGCCUGACUAUUUGGGCCUCUGUCCGAAGAUUUACUGAUCCAAGUGAAAAUAAGCGGUUAUGCAGCAACAGGUGGUGGUAGAGGAAUUGAGAGAUGAAAGCCUCAAGAUUUCAAAAAAAGGACAUUCACUAUAUAUCAGAUAAUGCCAAUAGUGAGAAAUGGGCUUGGGUGCUAUUUGAGAUCACCACUGAUAUUCUUCACAGCACAAAGAUUAUUGCUAAAAGCAUUAAGGCUAAUAAUAUUAAUGUUCUGAAGCUGAAAGUGAGUAUUUUGAAUACGACUCUAAUUCUGAUUGAGAUUCUCCAGGUUUGUAAAAUCUCGAGUUUGGGUUUCUUCAUACAUCAAAACUGUAUAUAUUGUAGUAGUCAUCUAUUCAUAUAAAGGGUUUGAUUUGUUAGAAAUAUAAGGAAGUUUUUCAUGCACAAGAAGGACUUUUCUGAUUGAUUAUCCUGAAAAUCGUCUACAACCAUAUUGUUUGUACUUCCUGCAGGCAGUUCUUGAUUACAAGCAAAUAACUCAACAGGUGGUCCAGUUGUUUGAUCACAUUUAUUAGCUGCCUCCCUGACUGUUGCUACUAAUUCUUUCUGGCAUUGGUUAUCUGCAAGUCUUCCUCCAAUACAAAUCUUAGCAGAAUUCUUAUCUAUGUAUGUAUGAUUGUUAGCAAACUGAACAUUAGAAACUCCAUUACUUUCACAGCCUGUACCAAUAAAAAAACUUUUACUUGAAUUGCACUUUUUGAAAUACUAUACUUUUUGUUACAUGGAAGGGUGAAACUGCUAAUAUUUUAUUUCUUAAUUGAUACUGCUUGUGACAAGCUUUCUUACACUACUUCUUCUUUCUUGUGAUAGACUUACUGUUUGGCAAUCUGCAUAAAGUACAUAUUCAAUUCUUGAUAGUACUGUAAAGGCCAAACUUUCAAGUAUUCUUUAAUAGCUUUCAAGAACAUCUUUCCUUUCAUCAUGCCAACAUUGUGACUGAAAAGCCUCAAGGAUCAAGUUGUAAACAUGAUAUGAUCUUACCCGGUUUAAUUGGAUUUUGCUUAUAUCUAAUGAAGAUUGUGGAAGCCAUAUAUAUCUAUGGUUAAAGAGAAGCAAAAUGGUUUCAGCUCUUUUCAAGGAGUUCCCUUCAAGAGGCUAUAAAGUUUUGGUUAUGUACCACAUGCCCUGCCGGUGAUGCAGGUUACGUACCAAGCAAGUUGCAAGUUGCAACUUGGCCUUUUCAGUGGUUAUGCUACUAUUCUUAAGAAUUCAAGAUUCUUAAGUAUUGCUCAAAAUUUGUUAGCUGAGUUUUGCUGUUCAAAAGUUUUGUCAAUAUGCAAUGUUUCAGAAACUGAAGCUGCUUCUAUAGAAAGUCUUUCAUGUUCUUCAUCAUCAUCUAUGUUAUGAAGUGGGAUAACUGAAAUGACAUCGAUAUAUUGCAUUUAUUCUUUGCCGGAUCUUUUGACGGAUACGUUGUUACAGCCUUUGAGGGUAUUUUUAAGGUCGCAGAAUAUUGCCAGAUCUUUCCCAUGAUUUGCUUUUAUUCUGUUCAAAAUGAAUGGCUAUCACAAGCAUGCCGGUUCCAAGGGCUCCUCCUACUAAUAGCAAAGAUAUGUGUUUGAUGUAAUAUCUAUAUUUGUCACUACAAUGGUAUGCAUUUUAUUCAAUUCAAUUACGUGCUUAUUGCAUAAGUGCUUAUUACAGUUAGCUGUCUC